AUGAUGGUGGCGGUCUCCCCCGAGCACCUCCUCGGCGUCCUCUAUGGCUUCUCCAGCGGCGGCGCGGAGCUCCUCAAGGCACGGAGGGUCGACGCCGGCGCCCGCCCUGCUGUCCAAGCCGCACACAAGUUCCUCGAAGACCGCGAAAGUCAGCUUAAGGGCUACGAGCCCGUGGCGCCGCGCGGCGGCCUCAUCGCCCUCCGCCGCCCAUCGCCGCUCGGCCUCUCCCCACCGCAGCCUUCCGAUCUUGUCGUGUGCAACCCCGUCACCGGGCAGCACGUAUCCCUGCCGCGCUCGUCCACCUGGGACGAAUCUUUCGUGCUCCUCCCCGACGGCGGCGGCGACUUCCGCUUGCACGUCGUGAACCUCGAGUUGGCCGACGCCGGGAUGCUUCAGGUUCAGACCUUCACGUCAUCAUCGGCGGAGCCGUCCAAGGGUGCGUGGGGCGCCGUCGUGGCGACCUACGCGCACCUGCCCUUGGGCGCUCCGAGCAGGUUCCUCCGACCGGCGCCGCUUGUCCUCGACGGCGUCGCGUACUGGCUCUGCAAGUCCGAGUCCGAGUGCCUCGGCUACCACGUCCUCGCGCUCCCCCUCGACGGGCGGCGGCAGCCGGCGCCGAUCAAGCUCCCGGACAAAGUUCUACAGAGACCAGAACAUGACAAGGCGCGCGGGUUCAACGCCGACGACCUCCUCCUAGCGUCGACGAUGGUGAACGGGAAGCGGCGGCUGACCCUGGCCGUGGUGAAAAAUUUCACAAUAUCUCUGUGGACACUGGAGGACGACCAGGUGAAGCCAGCGAGGUGGACGCGGCACAAGUUCUUCGACAUGUGGAGGAUCAUGGUGGAUCGCGGAUGCCCGGCGCCAUGGCGGGAGGAGGGAGACAAGCUGGCGCUGGAGUGCUUCUCGGAGGCGAGCGGCAGCCUGCUCUUCCACUUCUACCUUCGCAUGUUGCACAAGCUCGAUCUCAAGGCCAGCGAGGUGGAGCUAUUCGCGGUCUACUGCAAGCGGAACUCGAGCAACAUGUGCGAGUACGAGAUUACUUAG
rnacentral:rRNA from 1 species